UACGUAGGGUGCGAGCGUUGUCCGGAAUUACUGGGCGUAAAGAGCUCGUAGGUGGUUUGUCGCGUUGUUCGUGAAAACUCACAACUCAAUUGUGGGCGUGCGGGCGAUACGGGCAGACUGGAGUACUGCAGGGGAGACUGGAAUUCCUGGUGUAGCGGUGGAAUGCGCAGAGUAUCAGGAGGAACACCGGUGGCGAAGGCGGGUCUCUGGGCAGUGAACUGACGCUGGAGGAGCGAAAGCGUGGGGAGC
rnacentral:rRNA from 1 species